GAAUAUUGGACAAUGGGUGAGAGCCUGAUCCAGCCAUCCCGCGUGCAGGAAGACGGCCCUAUGGGUUGUAAACUGCUUUUCUACGAGAAUAAACCACCUUACGUGUAGGGUGUUGAAGGUACCGUAGGAAUAAGCACCGGCUACCUCCGUGCCAGCAGCCGCGGUAAUACGGAGGGUGCAAGCGUUGUCCGGAUUUAUUGGGUUUAAAGGGUCCGCAGGCGGACUUGUAAGUCAGAGGUGAAAGCCGGCAGCUCAACUGUCGAACUGCCUUUGAAACUGCAAGUCUUGAGUGAGGUUGAAGUAGCUAGAAUGAGUAGUGUAGCGGUGAAAUGCUUAGAUAUUACUCAGAAUACCAAUUGCGAAGGCAGGUUACUAAGUCUUAACUGACGCUGAGGGACGAAAGCGUGGGGAGCGAACAGG
rnacentral:rRNA from 1 species